AUGCUUUUUGAUGAAUAUGUGACCUCUAUGUCUAGAGAUGAUCACUUUGCUUCUUCAACUAGUCGAGGUAACAUUUCAAUUGAGGACAUUGGGAACAUUGGGGACGACAUUGAUGAGUAUGAUUUAUUUGAGAGUGAACAUUUUGGAUCGCAAUCUACUAAGUCACAGUUGAAUUUGUAUUUGGAGGAGAAUAGGCUUGAUAGAAAGAAGUACGCGGAUCUCAAUGAACUUGAUUAUUGGAAGACUCAUUCUCAUCGGUAUCCCGAGUUGUCUCUCAUGGCACGCGAUAUAUUGAGCAUUCCUAUCACUACCGUUGCCUUAGAGUCAGCCUUUAGCAUUGAAGGACGCAUUUUAAAUAAAUAUUGUAGUUCCCUUUUGCUUGAAAGCGUAGAGGCCGAGUUGUGCACUAGAGAUUGGUUAUUUGGAGUUCCGCCUGAGGAAGAAUUGGAUGAGGAGUCUCUCAUCAUUGACUUUCAAGACUAUUUGCAUUAGGUUCUAGACUGGGUGUUGGGUCAUAAUGAGGAGGUACACGAAAAGCUACAAUUUUCCACAAGAUUCUUGCAUGCAAAUGGGUUCAAGAAAGGAGUUGCAUCUUGAUUUUCUCAUGGUUCCUUUUUCAUAUUCACGAUUUGUGAUUCUGAUUUCUGAAUGCUGGCAAGGGAGGUGAACUCACUCAUGAUGAGACCGCAAUCAUUGGUGGAGCUCUAGAUUUGAUUGAGUAGGUUUACUACUAAAUCUAGAAAUCUUAUUUUCUUCUUCAUGUAAAUCAUAAAUUCUUGCUUGGCUAGAUUAUUUCUUUACCUCCUCUGUUGGGUGAGAAUCUUUGUUUCUAUCCGUACUACAACACCUAACAUUGUAGACAUUGUGACACCUUUCUGAUAUUUGAUUGAUCAUUGCAAAACUUGCAUAGUCUAUCACCAUGGUGGCCAUAAUCUAGCAGUGGAUGAAGGAUUCAAGAAUGCCUUCACACCAGGAGGAGGAAGAGGUGCGGCGGGAGAACAAGUGGGUAUUUAAAUAUGUCUUUAUGUCUCCUCUUGAACCAAUAAAGAUGAUUUGUGUUUAUUUUUCUGUGUCAGUCUUUUAGUUGUCGAAAUAUCCAAUUCCCUUUCAAUGUUACUAAAAUUCAGAA